GGGUGAGUAACACGUGGAUAACCUACCUAUAAGACUGGGAUAACUUCGGGAAACCGGAGCUAAUACCGGAUAAUAUUUUAAACCGCAUGGUUCAAAAGUGAAAGACGGUCUUGCUGUCACUUAUAGAUGGAUCCGAGCUGCAUUAGCUAGUUGGUAAGGUAACGGCUUACCAAGGCAACGAUGCAUAGCCGACCUGAGAGGGUGAUCGGCCACACUGGAACUGAGACACGGUCCAG
rnacentral:rRNA from 1 species